GGGUUGUGAGGUUAAGCGACUAAGCGUACACGGUGGAUGCCCUGGCAGUCAGAGGCGAUGAAGGACGUGCUAAUCUGCGAUAAGCGUCGGUAAGGUGAUAUGAACCGUUAUAACCGGCGAUUUCCGAAUGGGGAAACCCAGUGUGUUUCGACACACUAUCAUUAACUGAAUCCAUAGGUUAAUGAGGCGAACCGGGGGAACUGAAACAUCUAAGUACCCCGAGGAAAAGAAAUCAACCGAGAUUCCCCCAGUAGCGGCGAGCGAACGGGGAGCAGCCCAGAGCCUGAAUCAGUGUGUGUGUUAGUGGAAGCGUCUGGAAAGGCGCGCGAUACAGGGUGACAGCCCCGUACACAAAAAUGCACAUACUGUGAGCUCGAUGAGUAGGGCGGGACACGUGGUAUCCUGUCUGAAUAUGGGGGACCAUCCUCCAAGGCUAAAUACUCCUGACUGACCGAUAGUGAACCAGUACCGUGAGGGAAAGGCGAAAAGAACCCCGGCGAGGGGAGUGAAAAAGAACCUGAAACCGUGUACGUACAAGCAGUGGGAGCCUCUUAAUGGGGUGACUGCGUACCUUUUGUAUAAUGGGUCAGCGACUUAUAUUCUGUAGCAAGGUUAACCGAAUAGGGGAGCCGAAGGGAAACCGAGUCUUAACUGGGCGUUAAGUUGCAGGGUAUAGACCCGAAACCCGGUGAUCUAGCCAUGGGCAGGUUGAAGGUUGGGUAACACUAACUGGAGGACCGAACCGACUAAUGUUGAAAAAUUAGCGGAUGACUUGUGGCUGGGGGUGAAAGGCCAAUCAAACCGGGAGAUAGCUGGUUCUCCCCGAAAGCUAUUUAGGUAGCGCCUCGUGAAUUCAUCUCCGGGGGUAGAGCACUGUUUCGGCAAGGGGGUCAUCCCGACUUACCAACCCGAUGCAAACUGCGAAUACCGGAGAAUGUUAUCACGGGAGACACACGGCGGGUGCUAACGUCCGUCGUGAAGAGGGAAACAACCCAUACCGCCAGCUAAGGUCCCAAAGUCAUGGUUAAGUGGGAAACGAUGUGGGAAGGCCCAGACAGCCAGGAUGUUGGCUUAGAAGCAGCCAUCAUUUAAAGAAAGCGUAAUAGCUCACUGGUCGAGUCGGCCUGCGCGGAAGAUGUAACGGGGCUAAACCAUGCACCGAAGCUGCGGCAGCGACGCUUAUGCGUUGUUGGGUAGGGGAGCGUUCUGUAAGCCUGCGAAGGUGUACUGUGAGGUAUGCUGGAGGUAUCAGAAGUGCGAAUGCUGACAUAAGUAACGAUAAAGCGGGUGAAAAGCCCGCUCGCCGGAAGACCAAGGGUUCCUGUCCAACGUUAAUCGGGGCAGGGUGAGUCGACCCCUAAGGCGAGGCCGAAAGGCGUAGUCGAUGGGAAACAGGUUAAUAUUCCUGUACUUGGUGUUACUGCGAAGGGGGGACGGAGAAGGCUAUGUUGGCCGGGCGACGGUUGUCCCGGUUUAAGCGUGUAGGCUGGUUUUCCAGGCAAAUCCGGAAAAUCAAGGCUGAGGCGUGAUGACGAGGCACUACGGUGCUGAAGCAACAAAUGCCCUGCUUCCAGGAAAAGCCUCUAAGCAUCAGGUAACAUCAAAUCGUACCCCAAACCGACACAGGUGGUCAGGUAGAGAAUACCAAGGCGCUUGAGAGAACUCGGGUGAAGGAACUAGGCAAAAUGGUGCCGUAACUUCGGGAGAAGGCACGCUGAUAUGUAGGUGAAGUCCCUCGCGGAUGGAGCUGAAAUCAGUCGAAGAUACCAGCUGGCUGCAACUGUUUAUUAAAAACACAGCACUGUGCAAACACGAAAGUGGACGUAUACGGUGUGACGCCUGCCCGGUGCCGGAAGGUUAAUUGAUGGGGUUAGCGGUAACGCGAAGCUCUUGAUCGAAGCCCCGGUAAACGGCGGCCGUAACUAUAACGGUCCUAAGGUAGCGAAAUUCCUUGUCGGGUAAGUUCCGACCUGCACGAAUGGCGUAAUGAUGGCCAGGCUGUCUCCACCCGAGACUCAGUGAAAUUGAACUCGCUGUGAAGAUGCAGUGUACCCGCGGCAAGACGGAAAGACCCCGUGAACCUUUACUAUAGCUUGACACUGAACAUUGAGCCUUGAUGUGUAGGAUAGGUGGGAGGCUUUGAAGUGUGGACGCCAGUCUGCAUGGAGCCGGCCUUGAAAUACCACCCUUUAAUGUUUGAUGUUCUAACGUUGGCCCCUGAUCGGGGUUGCGGACAGUGUCUGGUGGGUAGUUUGACUGGGGCGGUCUCCUCCUAAAGAGUAACGGAGGAGCACGAAGGUUGGCUAAUCCUGGUCGGACAUCAGGAGGUUAGUGCAAUGGCAUAAGCCAGCUUGACUGCGAGCGUGACGGCGCGAGCAGGUGCGAAAGCAGGUCAUAGUGAUCCGGUGGUUCUGAAUGGAAGGGCCAUCGCUCAACGGAUAAAAGGUACUCCGGGGAUAACAGGCUGAUACCGCCCAAGAGUUCAUAUCGACGGCGGUGUUUGGCACCUCGAUGUCGGCUCAUCACAUCCUGGGGCUGAAGUAGGUCCCAAGGGUAUGGCUGUUCGCCAUUUAAAGUGGUACGCGAGCUGGGUUUAGAACGUCGUGAGACAGUUCGGUCCCUAUCUGCCGUGGGCGCUGGAGAACUGAGGGGGGCUGCUCCUAGUACGAGAGGACCGGAGUGGACGCAUCACUGGUGUUCGGGUUGUCAUGCCAAUGGCACUGCCCGGUAGCUAAAUGCGGAAGAGAUAAGUGCUGAAAGCAUCUAAGCACGAAACUUGCCCCGAGAUGAGUUCUCCCUGACUCCUUGAGAGUCCUGAAGGAACGUUGAAGACGACGACGUUGAUAGGCCGGGUGUGUAAGCGCAGCGAUGCGUUGAGCUAACCGGUACUAAUGAACCGUGAGGCUUAACCUUACAACGCCGAAG
rnacentral:rRNA from 1 species